UACGUAGGUGGCAAGCGUUGUCCGGAUUUACUGGGCGUAAAGAGCGCGCAGGCGGUCGUUCAAGUCGCGUGUGAAAGCCCCCGGCUCAACUGGGGAGGGUCACGCGAUACUGAUCGACUCGAAGGCAGGAGAGGGAAGUGGAAUUCCCGGUGUAGUGGUGAAAUGCGUAGAUAUCUGGAGGAACACCGGUGGCGAAGGCGGCAUCCUGGACCGGUAUUGACGCUGAGGCGCGAAAGCCAGGGGAGCAAACGGG
rnacentral:rRNA from 1 species